GCGGGUAUAGCUCAGUGGUAGAAUACCUGCUUAGCAUGCACAAAGCCCUGGGUUCAAUCCCCAGUACCUCCA
rfam:Camelus ferus unplaced genomic scaffold scaffold2260, whole genome shotgun sequence.